rnacentral:rRNA from 1 species
CACGUAGGAUCCAAGCGUUACUCGGAAUUACUGGGCGUAAAGCGUGCGUAGGUGGUUCGUUAAGUCUGUCGUGAAAGCCCCGGGCUCAACCUGGGAAUGGCGAUGGAUACUGGCGGGCUAGAGUGCGGUAGAGGAGAGUGGAAUUCCCGGUGUAGCAGUGAAAUGCGUAGAGAUCGGGAGGAACAUCAGUUGCGAAGGCGGCUCUCUGGACCAGCACUGACACUGAGGCACGAAAGCGUGGGGAGCAAAC